UUGUUUUCGUUGCGAUAGUUUACAUUCAUUACACAUUGUUUUGAUGGUUUUGCGUCCCGGGGGCCCAAGAGCCCCAAGACGUACACAGUUCACAGUGUGUGUGGGAUAGACACGGCCAGAGGCCAAUCUCUAAUGAUCCUUCCGCAGGUUCACCUACGGAAA
rnacentral:misc_RNA from 1 species